AUGUACAGACUAAUACUCGUGUCAGUGUUCCUUUCUGCCUGCUUGGCUGGCCCCAAAUAUAAACGAACACCAUCGAAUCUCAACCUUACGCGGCGUUUCGCCCAGUCGUUCAACAACUAUGAUCCUUGCUCCGAGUACGAUAACUCCAGUCCGGGUGUCAUCAGGGAUACAGAGACCAAAUGCAAUCGCGCAUUCGAGCUCCUGGGCAGUCUUCCGCCGGGCGAUCUCCCUCUCCAUUGCCUGCCGGCCCAGAGGACCCAAAGUCCCUCUUGCCGUGACUUCCGAGGUCAAAAGAGAUGUAUGAUCACAGCCAGACACACGAUCGUCGCUAGACAGGUGGGACCGCAACUUAUUCAGACCCAAGAACUGGUGAAGCCAGUGCUGCUGAGUGCCUGCGCUGAAACGGUCGGAGUUGAUAUUCCAGCCUCCGCAGACAUACACGCCAUGGAAGACCUUUUCAGUAAUCGGCCUCGUCCGGGGGAUGUGUGGACGACUUCAGAAUUUACGCGCACGGUGACGAUGACGAAAGUAGAUCCUGACGCUUCUGGAGAGAACCCCUUUCUCCCAGGCUCCGAUACGAACGAUCCCCCAACACCGAAAUCACCGAAAAGAUCUUCAUCCAGAUCACCAAGAUCGUCGCCGAUGUCGUCACCGCGAUCAUCACCGCGACGAAACUAA
rnacentral:lncRNA from 1 species